rnacentral:lncRNA from 1 species
AAAACAUUUUUAUAGGUCCUACAAUUUUUUAACGACACAUUUUACAAAUUUCUAUUACAAUCUACCAAAAAAUCUCCGAUGUUUAAAUGAACAAAUUUAAUAGCGACAAUAUUUGAAUACGACGUGGAUUACAAUUGAAAUUUAGAGAUAAAUAUAGAAUGAGAUAGAUAUAUAAAAAUUACUGAUGUAAAGAGCCGUGCCCAUCCAAAAAAAUUAUUCUCUCAACAAGCUAAAUCUGCCACCAAGUGGAGAGUGAAGUGAGCACAACUACGCAACUCGACAAUGGAAAAACUGAUCUCAGAGGACUUUGAUUUGCUGCACAAGGACCGCUCCGAGGAGAACCUCAUGCGGUGGCGCAAAGCCGUCGGAACAAUCGUCAAGAAUCGUCGCCGCCGCUUCCGGUAUGUCGCUGAUCUCGAAAAGCGAUUCGAAACUAAAGAACAGAUGCGGAAACUCAGAGUACGUAUAACUUGAUUAUCUCUCUCUAGAACAGAUAAAGGAUUUGGAUUUUAUGCCUUUCUUCUCUACAGGUUUCUUUUGUUUUGGAUAAUACUACCGUGUCUUGGGAUAAUUUUUCGAAAGUUGCUAAAAAUUUCGAAUAUUGGAAUUUCCGUUUCCGACUUUAUUUCACUUGGAAAAUACGCCUAAUAUUUCUGGAAAAUAAAUUUAGAUUUUUAUGCUAUUAUAUACGAAAUUCUUUUGAUUUGAAAAAUGCUUACCGUUGCUUUGGAUUUAUUCACAAUUUUUUAAAAUUACAAAAAUAAAAAAAAAGUCAGCAAUUGGUCAUUUAUACAAAUAAAAAUUUAAUAAUUGAUGAGGAUUUUUAAUAAACUAAUAGUUAAUAAUCGUCCUGGGAACAAAGCAGAAUCAUCUGUUUUCUGUUUGGAAAUAUUUAUCGGUAAAGCAUAAAAGGAACCUUUAGUGCUAAUCAUGAUGGUUUUCAUUGACCGGUUUCAAUUGACCACCGGUCCACCGGUGAUGUCUAAUCUAAAGACGCUUGAUUUCCACGCUCUCUUUAUUUUCAACAAAACAGGAUAGUGUUGGCAACAUUUGUCACGAUAAACAUUGUUUAAAAUUCUUUAGCCUCAGUUGGACUCCCAUUACUUGAAUUUAUAAUGGGAGAAUAGUGUUUAAAAAAAUUACUAUUCAAAACUUUAUUUUCUUAAAAUAAUGGCCAGGGGUUAAAUUUUAAUUGGGUCCGUAUAAAGAUUCUUAUUUAUCAAAUUGGAUUUUUACAUUUUAAGCAGUAGCAUAUGGGGUCAUGUGCAUGCACCCAUGCCUUGGGCCGGAUCGAUCUAGUAUAUUUGAUUAAUGUUUUUAAUUUAAUUUUUUAUGAUUGGAUAAAAUAGUCAAAAUUUGAAAUAAAUAACCACCCUUACUUUUAAAAGUUAUAAGAAAAUCAAUAUUUUUAGAUAUGAUUGCAAUAUGGUGCACCCAUGUAGGGAUGUCAACGAGUCAAGUCGAGCCGACUCGCGAGUCAAAAUUCUAGACUUGGGCUCUGCUCGAGUAAAAUGCAACGGGCUUUUUUCGAGCCCGAGCCGAGAAAAAGCUUGGCCAAAAAAAUAAGGUUCGGCUACAGUCGGGCUCGAUUUUUUAUUUUUUGAUUGGUGACAAAUCUAAAUUUUUUGAAAGAAUUUAAAAAUCGUGCAAUUUAUAUUAGUUAUAAAUUAAAUAAAAGUUAGAACCCUCUUUUUUUUCGUGCUUAAGACCAACUAUAAUCAACAUAAGUGAAGUUAAAAUUGUACACAAAUAAAAUAUUUCGUGUAGCAUUUCUCUUGGAACCAUUAUAAAAAAAGUUAAAAAUAAUUUAAGCAAAUUGAUAUGAAAUUUAAAACAAAGAAAUUGAAGUUAAAACUAUAAUAUUGCACAUUAAAAAUGAUUGAAGCAAAUUGAUAUAAAACUCAAAAUUUUACAACAUAUUUAUAGCAAAAGGAAAUCGUGUUCCUCAAAUUUGAAUUUCAAAUUACGCACAAAUAAAAAUAAAGAGUUUGCUGCCAAACUUAGCAGCUAUAAAGGUGCUCCUUCAUGUGCAAUAAAGGGUGGCCUUUUUGUAUAUUGUUUUUUUCAUCUCAAGUUUUGAAGUUGAUUUUUAUUUAUUUAUUUAUGUCAAUAGCCAUACGGGUCGGCCCGAGCUCGAGCCAAUGCCCCAAAAUGGGGCUCGGUUUCUUCGAGCCGCGAGUCGAGGGACAAGCUACCCGUGCCGACGAGCUGGUUUGACAUCGCUACACCAUGUGAUUCAAGGAGGUACCUCAUGGGGGACCAUGUGAAAGUCACUACUACUAAUAUAUGUAUAUUAAACUUUUUUCUUUUUUCUUUUUUUAAUCUAAAAUCCAUAAUUCUUCAAAUGUUUCUUUUUUAUAAGUGAGACUUACCAACAUUACAAUAUAUGUUUUCUCUCUGUGGUCCCCGAGGCCUUGAAGAGUUGCUAUUUUAUAGUGUUUUGUCACAGUGAGAAUAGGUGAAUGGGACACCAAAAUAUGGCACCUUCUUGACUUGUACUCUGCAAUAAAGUCAGAGGAGGAAAUUUCCUUGAAAUUUCAUUGUGACAUUGGUGGAAUGCCUGUAGGGGAAAAUUAUUUAAGAAAUAGUAUCUCAUCUCCUAGUUUACGAGAAAAUAAGCUAUGCGUCUCUGUCCUUUUUCUCUCACUCUGAGUUAGUCUCAUCUAGUGUUGUUUGUAUUGGAGCAUCAUUUUCAGACUUAUCCUACCAGAUGACUUCACCAUAUCAUGUAUGGUCUGGACCAGACCAUGCUAGACCCAACGAAUUUUCGCGGUGCCAAACGUACACCUCUAGUUUGGGUUGGAGGUCACCAAAAAUAUUCAAAAAUUAAAAAAUCUUAGGCUAUGUUUGAAAGGCAUGAAUUCCAUGGAAAAUGGAAUUUGAUUUCCACCCUAAACCAAAAAUUGAUGUUUGAUAGGUUUUUUUCUAUGGAAUUCAUUUUCCCACUUUGAUGCCACCUAUACCAUUUUCCACCAAAUUGAGGAAAAUGAAUUCUCACCAAAUUGGUGAGAAUUCAUUUUCUAGGCUGUUGGGCCCUUUUUUUUUUUUUUUUUUUUUUUUUUUUUUUUUUGCAAUGGAAACAAUUCUAUCUCUAAUUGUAUAAAAAAAAAUUUCCUUUAAUUGAGAAUUUUUAUGUAAAACAAAGCCAAACGAACACUAAAAGAUAGAUGAUUUCCUUGAAAUUUUUUUAUUUUUAUUUUUAUUUUUUUUGGCAAUUGGAAGAAAUUUCAUUCCAAUACCAGUAAAUUCUUUCUCUUUAAUUGAUAAUUUUCAUGUAAAAUAAAGUCAAACCAAC